GGCAAGGUGGCAGAGUGGUUAUGCAGCGGCCUGCAAAGCCGUGGACGUCGGUUCGAUUCCGAUCCUUGCCU
rnacentral:tRNA from 4 species